GAUGAACGCUGGCGGCGUGCCUAAUACAUGCAAGUCGAGCGAACGGACGAGAAGCUUGCUUCUCUGAUGUUAGCGGCGGACGGGUGAGUAACACGUGGAUAACCUACCUAUAAGACUGGGAUAACUUCGGGAAACCGGAGCUAAUACCGGAUGAUAUUUUGAACCGCAUGGUUCAAAAGUGAAAGACGGUCUUGCUGUCACUUAUAGAUGGAUCCGCGCUGCAUUAGCUAGUUGGUAAGGUAACGGCUUACCAAGGCAACGAUGCAUAGCCGACCUGAGAGGGUGAUCGGCCACACUGGAACUGAGACACGGUCCAGACUCCUACGGGGGCAGCAGUAGGGAAUCUUCCGCAAUGGGCGAAAGCCUGACGGAGCAACGCCGCGUGAGUGAUGAAGGUCUUCGGAUCGUAAAACCCUGUUAUUAGGGAAGAACAUAUGUGUAAGUAACUGUGCACAUCUUGACGGUACCUAAUCAGAAAGCCACGGCUAACUACGUG
rnacentral:rRNA from 1 species